CGUCAAUGUACCUCCCAGGAAACGGAAAAACAUAGAUGACUCUACCACAUACCAAACUCCUCAGGUUAAGCUAAUUAACAAUAGAGGCAUCGGCUGUGCUGAACAAAUAAUCAAGCUCACAUCAGAUUCUGACAUAGAGUCUGACGUAUCCAUCAUUGAACCUCAGAGGAAACGGAAACACAUAAUAGGAUCUAAUUCACAUCAAACUCCUCAGGAUAGACACGGCAGCAGCGUGGAUGAUAUUUUAACAUGGACGGAAUCACAGGUCGUCGAAUGGGAUCGUUUGUCAUGGACCAGUGAUCGAUACGAUGAGGCUACAGUGAGAGCCAGGCAGACGCCGUAUCCUUUUUACGUAGCGACGAAGGAAGAAGAAGAAGCUGAAAAAGAAGAAGUGCGGGGGACGGAGAGCAGAAAUGAUGUGCAGGAUGAUAUUCGGACUCUGUGUCGUGAAAUCAUUAAAAGAUUAGAUGACCAGGCCAUAGAGAAAUGUAACAGUACAUCCGCCAUUAAUAGGCGUUUUGAUGAACUUAAUAGCAGAUUGGAUGACAUUAGUAUCAGAUUGGAUGGUCACUUCAAAGAGAAUCAAAACAGAAUCGCCUCUGAAUUUUUAGCAAUUCAUAACAAAUUGGAUUACCACUUUCAAAUAAAUUGUGACAGAAUAGCGUCAGCGUUUUUUGAAGUUCAUAACAGAUUGAAGCAUCUUAAUGCAUUGGUUCCUGAAAUAUUAGACCGUUUAUAUCAGCUGAAUCAGUCAUUAGAGGAAUCUCUCCAUAGAUUGCAGACAUGUGUCGAAGAGAAUCAUGAGCGUAUCCUUAGAGAAUUAAAUGAUCAGUUGAGAGAAAGACAAUUAACCGUUAGUCUUCUCAGCGCCAUGGUUACCUGCGCACAUCCAAGUUAGAAAUGUAUGAUGGAUUAUGUAUUAGCUACAUCUGAUUGUAGUACCUUUUUCAGAACAGACAUGUCAUGAUUUUUCUGUUUGUAGUACCUUUAUUUGUGUUUUUUCUUUAAUUUUGUGAUAUUGCAUAUUAUGUUUUCAUUUUUGGCCUAAAAAUAAAGAUU